GUGUGGCUCAAGCGGUAGAGCACGUGCCUAGUAUGCACAAGGUCCUGGGUUCAACCCCCGGCAC
rnacentral:tRNA from 1 species